UACAGAGGUCUCAAGCGUUGUUCGGAUUCAUUGGGCGUAAAGGGUGCGUAGGUGGCGCCGUAAGUCAGGUGUGAAAUCUCGGAGCUCAACUCCGAAACUGACACUUGAUACUGCCUUGCUAGAGAGCUGGAGAGGAAACUGGAAUUUACGGUGUAGCAGUGAAAUGCGUAGAGAUCGUAAGGAAGACCAGUGGCGAAGGCGAGUUUCUGGACAGCUACUGACGCUGAGGCACGAAGGCCAGGGGAGCAAACGGG
rnacentral:rRNA from 1 species